rnacentral:rRNA from 1 species
UGGGGAAUUUUGCGCAAUGGGCGAAAGCCUGACGCAGCAAUACCGCGUGAGUGAUGAAGGCUCUUGGGUCGUAAAGCUCUGUCAGAGGGGAAGAACCUCCUGUCGUUUAAUACGCGGCAGGCCUGACGGUACCCUCAGAGGAAGCACCGGCUAACUCCGUGCCAGCAGCCGCGGUAAUACGGAGGGUGCAAACGUUGUUCGGAAUUAUUGGGCGUAAAGAGCAUGUAGGCGGCUCGCCAAGUCUGAUGUGAAAGCCCUGGGCUCAACCCAGGAAGUGCAUUGGAAACUGGCGAACUUGAGUACGGGAGAGGAAAGUGGAAUUUCGAGUGUAGGGGUGAAAUCCGUAGAUAUUCGAAGGAACACCAGUGGCGAAGGCGGCUUUCUGGACCGAUACUGACGCUGAGAUGCGAAAGCGUGGGGAGCAAACA